ensembl:lncRNA
AGUGUCAUAAAAACGGAACAUUAUAGGCGUCAUAAAAGUAAACUUUAUGGCAGAACCGUUAGGUUGUACAGGUGCACCUAUUAAAGUGGCCACUGAGUGUAUAUACCUUAUUAUUAUUAAUAUUAUUAUUAUUAAUAUAUAUUGUCUAGUCAGUGGUCAUCCUUACCAUCACCGGUGGGCGGCAGCAGCUUGUUCUGCUGCUCUUUCUUGGAGGAAGAUGAUGAUGAAGUCAGAUAUGUAGUUUGAGACCGCUCGUUCUCCAUGAACACUAACUUUCUGUUCAGGGCUUGGAUCUCGCUCUCUCUCCGGUGCAGCUCCACCUGCACGAGGGCGAAGCCGUCCUCCCACAGCUUGCUGAUCUCCACCACCGCAGCUUUAGCUAGCACCUCCAUGAUCGAGGUUAACUUGCUCUGGAAAGCCACACAGUUCGCCAUGUCGCCCCCCGGGUCAGCACCUCCACGAGCUGCGAACAACAUGGAAGUGUGAUACAAUAGUAACAGGAAACGAACUGGGUCAUGUGACGGAGGAUAUACGGCGCUGAUGGUGGGACAAUUUCUCUGCAGGAAAUCAAAGACUAAAAACAAAGCAUGCAUUGAAGAACCUCCUCCACGUUUAGCGUUUGUGCAACUAUAAUAAAUGGUUUAUAACAAACUACAAUGUAAACAUUAAGCUUCAAGCUCAACACGAGUUUUGAACACAUGCACAUAAACAUAUUUGUACAUGUUCAUAUUACACACUGUAAGAUUAUUUGAUGUAGUGUUGUAUAUAUUUAUGCAGCCUUGUGUUAUUAAUUAUUAAUUGAAAGUUAUGUUUUCAUAGCUAUAAUUGUUGACACAUUUGAAUCUCUUAUAACUACAUUGUAGUGUUAUAAACAAAGUAUUACGUGUAUUAUAUGCUGCUUUUAAUUCAAAAUGGGGGAAUUAAAGUAAAGUGUUGACGUUUGGGGUAAUUUUGUUAUAACAAAUCUAUGUGGACUAAUAUAUAAAGUCAAAUAUCUUGUAUUGCUUAUAUUACUUUCAGUCUUUAAAUAAUUAAUAUUUUGUCACAGGACCACACAAUCAGGUAAUUAUGUCACAAGUAUCUUAAUUGUGACAUGUGCCAUGAAAACACUUGGUAUGGUAAAUGCUGCCAUGAUAAGGCGUGGAAAUGGGCCUUCAUAAUAUGGAAGAGAUACAGGUAGAUCAAAGUAAAUGUGACUUGACCUUCCCCAGUGUUGUUGAUAUUUGACAUGUGAUGCUUAAUAGUCUGAUCCUGUUUGUUACUCUGACAGGACACACUUAAGGAGUGGCUGAGAUGACGCAUCUAUUAAUGUUUGAAUCCUGAACGGACACCUAUUUAGAACUCCACAUGAUCCAUACGCCACUUAUUUUAACAAUGUUAUCACCAAAAUUGCACCAAACUGAUGCUUAACACAUAUUUAAAGCAACUGAAAACACUUGUGGGUUGCAAUAUCUUGCUGUUGUUUGAGCUUGAUGUGUAUAGCAGUGCUGCUUAGUUUUGUCCACUAGAUGAUGCUCUAUUUCCAUUAAAGUACAAAAGCUAAGGUCAAAGCACCUGCCCUUGUAGGAAAAUAACUAUCAAAUUUGGCCCAUACUCAUGCCUAUAACUUAUUUAUUUGCCAAUAAAUUCCCCAAAUACGUUAUGUAUGAAAGACAUUCUCAAACUUUUUGCCAGUGACCAUCUGCUAACAUAAUCUUCCCACUAAAAAAUACGAGGUCAAGAAAAAAGAAACAAAAAGGCUAUUCUUUCAAGUUCUCCCAAUUUGUUGCACAUCAAAAAGCUUUGGUGAGACACAAUAAAUCUAACAAAAGUAGUGGUGACUGAGGUUGCAUUUGGAAACCAAAAUAGACCACUUUGCAGAAAAUGUUUGCCCCAAGACUUGAGUUUUGACCUAUUUCAUGCUUUAGUCAUAUAUGAAAAAAUACUUUUGAGUGAUUACAUGUUAAAGUUACAUUUUCAUUCAGUAUGCUAUAAUUGACCCUUUUAUUCAGUUUCAUUCCUCAUGAAGUAAUUAAUUUGUAUCUUAUCAUUAUUAUUCUAAUGUAGGCUAUUUAUUUAAUCUCUCUCUUUCUCUUUAUUUGCCCUCUGUUGCUGUAUGCCUCUUUUUACCCUUUGUAAAGCACUGUGAACUGCAUUUGUAUGAGAAGUGAUAGAUAAAUAAACUUGAACUUGCAACUUGAAAACUAAUUUACAAUCAAACAUG